GGGAUGUGCUUAGAGCAGGGGGCCUGAAGAAAGGCUCCUCUGUUUAUAACACAUCCAGCAGAAUCUGGGGUCAUCGUGAUGAGGGACACAAAACUCGUGAGCUCCUACAUGUGAAGAAGAAGAAAAA